rnacentral:rRNA from 1 species
GAUGAACGCUGGCGGCGUGCCUAAUACAUGCAAGUCGAGCGAACAGACGAGGAGCUUGCUCCUCUGACGUUAGCGGCGGACGGGUGAGUAACACGUGGAUAACCUACCUAUAAGACUGGGAUAACUUCGGGAAACCGGAGCUAAUACCGGAUAUUAUAUUGAACCGCACGGUUCAAUAGUGAAAGACGGUUUUGCUGUCACUUAUAGAUGGAUCCGCGCCGCAUUAGCUAGUUGGUAAGGUAACGGCUUACCAAGGCGACGAUGCGUAGCCGACCUGAGAGGGUGAUCGGCCACACUGGAACUGAGACACGGUCCAGACUCCUACGGGAGGCAGCAGUAGGGAAUCUUCCGCAAUGGGCGAAAGCCUGACGGAGCAACGCCGCGUGAGUGAUGAAGGUCUUCGGAUCGUAAAACUCUGUUAUUAGGGAAGAACAAAUGUGUAAGUAACUAUGCACGUCUUGACGGUACCUAAUCAGAAAGCCACGGCUAACUACGUG